rnacentral:rRNA from 1 species
ACGAACGCUGGCGGCGGGCUUAACACAUGCAAGUCGAACGGAAAGGCCCUGCUUUUGUGGGGUGCUCGGGUGGCGAACGGGUGAGUAACACGUGAGUAACCUGCCCUUGACUUUGGGAUAACUUCAGGAAACUGGGGCUAAUACCGGAUAGGAGCUCCUGCUGCCUGGUGGGGGGUGGAAAGUUUCGGCGGUUGGGGAUGGACUUGCGGCUUAUCAGCUUGUUGGUGGGGUAGUGGCUUACCAAGGCUUUGACGGGUAGCCGGCCUGAGAGGGUGACCGGCCACAUUGGGACUGAGAUACGGCCCAGACUCCUACGGGAGGCAGCAGUGGGGAAUAUUGCACAAUGGGCGGAAGCCUGAUGCAGCAACGCCGCGUGCGGGAUGACGGCCUUCGGGUUGUAAACCGCUUUCGCCUGUGACGAAGCGUGAGUGACGGUAAUGGGUAAAGAAGCACCGGCUAACUACGUG